rnacentral:tRNA from 1 species
GGAGUUGUGGCUCAAUGGUAGAGUGCUUGCCUAGCAUGCAUGAGGCACUGGGUUCGAUUCUCAGCACCA